CUAUAUCAGCACUGCAUGAACUUGCAUGACCUUCACCUCGGUCAUAAACAAAGAUGGCAGCUUCUGUCAAAACUUGUCAGAAUUCAGGGUGAAAAAUCGUAGUUAUUUCAUCAAUUUCUGCAAGAAAUAAAGUUGGUACCACCUCCUCCUUCCAAUCGCCGAGAGUUAUGUUCAACUGUUGCACCUCGAAGAAGGCAUGAUUAUGCUGUAGACAUUGAGCCAGACUUCCCACCCAUGUUCCGGACAUCCCUCUCAAGUGCGUGUAGUCUUUUACAAGAAUCAGAGGAGUCAUUGGUUGAGAGCGGAAUGGCUUCAGAUACUAACACAUCCCUUGUACAACUUGAGAGGCUUCUUGCUGAGCUAGUGUCAUAUCCCUAGGUGAGCCAAGGAGUCUUUUACAUGAUGGCUGUGCAUAACAAAUCUUCAUCUAGCCUGUGUGACAGGGAUAUCAUAUGAUUUGUGGAGAGCGGAAGUUUUCUUGGGUUUUUCCACAACAAAAGAGACGAUAUACCCUUUGAAGGUCCUGGAUAUCGUGUCUACUCGGAAGCAGACCUGAGCGAUAUGAAAGAAAAGUCACAGGAACGGACAGCCAGUAUCAGGGUGAUAAGGAGUGCAAAAAGUGGAAAGCAAGUCCAAGGUCGCAAUCGCUCUGGUGAAGUUUAUUCAAAGAAGGUGAAGGCAAUUCAAAAGCAUAUUGCUGUAAGUUGUCAAGUCGUUUUUUUCUAAAUAUUGCAACAUGAUAAUGAUUUGAUUUUCCUCUUGAUUUGCUAGGCCAUUUUCAUUUACUAGCAUAUACCCAUGGAGCGGGCAAAGUCGAAACUAAAAAUAGAAUAGGCUAAUUAAUCCCCCUGCCAAUACCCUGCACCAUGGACCAGGUUGUACAGCACUACAUACGUGCUGGAAGCUAAUACUGAUGUGGCAGGGAGAAUAUGCGAGAAGUUUGUGUAUGCUUUUGAGAAUGAGCGGAGCUCUCGAGUCCACGUGCUCUCUGCAAAGUUGUUAUUUAUUCUAAAACCACGAAGAUAUUCAACGUAUGACACCCUCAGUGACACUCUUACAAUAUGAUCCACACCUAAGAAGCAAAACGUUGCAAGAAUUCGUCGCAUUUCCAAGGCUCAAUUUUGAAACAAAAAUUACCUCCUAAAUAGCGGCCACAAUGCGCAUUAUAGUAUAGAUUUUCCACAUCCACUUUGAUUUUGUUCAGGUUAUUGAGGCGACAGCUGCUGGUUUAUGUGAGACACUUGACAUUAAAUUGUUUGUUCAUGUUGUGAGAAGGAAUGCUAGUGCUAAGAAAGAGGUUGAUAAGUAAGAAUGUCCAUUUUUUUCUGUUGGCAGUGUUGCCCUACAGGUUGUUCUCUUUGGUUCAUUUUCUUUUUGUUUCUUUCUUUAUCUUUGGUUUAAUUCUUAACCCAAGCCCAGCCGAUGGUCAUUUAGCUGCUGUAAAUGAACUAUACUCUGGCAUCCUUUAAGAUUGGAUUAGCAAGAGCAUUUUGCCUUUAAAUCAAUAUUGUUGUUAUUCUUAGAGGAGCAGUAAGCUGUCAACGAUUGGCCUGCCGUUUAGAAACCACUGUCACAUGCCCCAAGACAGUAGCGCUCCUGUGAUGUGGCGAUAUGCACUAAGCCGGCGAUGAAGAACACAUCAGGGGUUUUUUAAAUGGCGGGCCCCUCGUUUACCGUUUUCUCCAUCAAAUACACUGCUCCUUUAUUUAUUGGAACAUGUAACCCUUUUGCUGCUGACCAAUAUUUUGUCUGAUGUGCUGUCCAAGUAAAUGAAUCCUACGCUACAUGCUCCCACUACCAGUGGCUGGGCUUUCAGAGUGGCUUACAACAAAUUCAAUGAGGUCUUCUGCUUUGCUCAUUCAUUUGAAAGAGAACACAACUGUGUCAGUUGCUGGCAGUUUAGAGACAACAUUACACUGCUAAUGCUAUCACAGAUUUCUAUCAUUUUGUGAAAGCUUUGAUCCCUGUGUGUCAAGCUGCGUACCAAGAAUCCAUAAAGCACAAAAUAAAGGACUGGUCGUAAAAAUUUUUAUUAGCUUCAUUUUGAUACCAGAACAACAGUCAUAGGAGGAAUACUUUUGAACUAAUGAAAGAAAACGCAAAAUCAGGCAAAUUGGCGUAUUGGGAGCCAGUGGCAUAAGGGUGAAAGUUCAUUAUGCUUUGUUGGGGACCAUCAAAAGUAUUUAAAUUCUGAAGUCCACUAAAUAUAUUGAUCUUGCUCUGGAUGAUCACACACUCUCCUCCAACUUAAAAUAUGGAGCUUCUCAUUGACAAUUACCAAGGAGCAGGCAUCGGCAUUGACUCCAUGACACUCCUAUCCUCGAACAUGGCCGUUGCCAAAGGGACUAUAAGUAGAAUCCGACCACUAGCAAGUGGGACUUCGGGGGGAUAUAGCAAUCAUCAACCAUCUGGUGGAUAUGAUCUCUCUGCGUCAAGGUAGGUUUCUAAAUGAAUGUGUUUUUUUUUCUGUUUUUUAAAUUCAUUCUCAAAUAGUGAUAUGGGAUUAGGAGUCCUUUCUGGUCACCUGGCUGCUUUGCAAGAGAAGACGAAGGGCUGACUAUGGCAAUGCAAGUCAGAUUCCUCAAACUGCAUGCAUUUUACUCCCAAGAUGCCUCAGACCGUGACAAUGGUCAUUGUGGUAUUGCAGACAACUCUAGGUUCCAAUGCGAUGUUAGUAUUUUCAUGCUAACCCCAACACUCUUUCAGCCUAGUAGGAUUCUUUUUAAAGCCAAUGAGAACUUUCCCCAGCCAAGAACUCUUCACAUGUAAAUUCGCGAUGAGAGAGAGAUAGCAAUCCCUUACACAAUUAAUUUCUCUGCCAAAUGGUACUGUAAUGUUCAGAACAGGCUACAGUGCCACUGUUUCUUUAUAGCGGCCACAUGUUCAGUUGUUUAGUAAAUGAAGUACUUUAGUCUGGAGUUAGAGCUGAAUGAAUAUUCAGAUAUUCUCAGGAUGACAUAGGAACAAAAUCUUUUUGAAACAUGAAUUAGACAACAAAUAGCCCUCCACGCAGUGUGCAGCAGGUCAAUUUAAAGAUACUAAAGUUGUCAAAGACGAAGCCUCAAAUAAUGAUUCAUGUUUAGAGCAAAGUCUGUAAACUGGUCGUGCUGCAGAAAUCGAUUGAUGAUAUCACUACAACCCAGGCCUGGCAGUCUCCAUGUUUAUUCUUCAUCACUCAUUAUUUUAGAAGGUACAUCUAACUAAAUACAUCAAACUCUCUCCUUUUAUCAUGAAGUCAUGAAUUCUAUCUUCAGAAAUAUCCAGGCUCGCAUGCAUAUUACGGAUGGAACCCAGUACAAGCGCAAUCCCAGAACAGGCAUCUUUGAGUACCUGAGACUCAUUCCUGAUCUCCCAACCAAUGAUUGUGGAUGUGGGUCACCAUUCAAGAACACCGAAUUCCCAGAUGGCCUUCCUGUGAUGGAGGAUUUUACUUGUACCCUCUACAUGCGUCAUGCUCCGGUAGCGUGUAAAGUUUACAAAAGAAAGUGUCUGGCAUCCUGUGCGGCAGACGUUCAAUACAGUGGCCAGAAAGACAGCAUAUUCUUCUGGUCAAGACAAGUUGCUGCUGCAGACGAGGUUGGUUGGGAUUUCGUUAACCUCAUCAUGUCCAGUAAGAUGUCGUUUUCCAACUUUUGUCUAGAGAAAUCUAGAUAUUACAGAACCAUGAACCCCAUUUCUGCACCCUUCAUGAAUAAGGGCACCUUUAUAUCUUGGUUUUUUGCAUGGUGCAGCAAAAUGGACAUUGAUUUCCGUGCCCAUGUCGACCCUUAGUGUGGUCAUCACCCAUCCGCCAUUGCUGGUGAUGGUACACACAUUGGCCUGUCGCUUCGGAAGGUCGACAUAACUCCUGUUGAUAAGCCAGACACCCAAGAAAGGCUGGUUUCUAUACAUCGGCGAUUUGAUCGCAAUUUCUUGCCAUACCGUAGGGGUAUUUCUGAUGAUAAUGUUAGGAGGGGUAGGCAACAUCUGAAAAGCCAGUCAAAGAGAUUCUUGUCAGACGAUACAACACAGAUCACUGAAGAGGUUAGAGGAGCUGAAGAUCAAAAUCUUCUACGUGUUUGUUCACAGGAUGAUCGCUGCAAAAAUAUGCUGAAACUAUAUUUGAGCAGCGAUCUUCCUGCUAGUCUUCGUCAAGUGUUGGCCGAUCUGUUCCUCCUUUUGAGUUCAGAGUCAGCUCUUUCAACUGUUGUUCCCCCUAGGUACCAUGCGGACAUACUUUCUGUCACUGAUGCACACAUUUUUCGCCUCUUUUGCCCAGAACUGGGUCGUGCUUAUGAGGCAUGUACUCUCCAUGGGAAAAGUGAAAUUUUCAUGGGAUUUCUCAUCUACCUGGUAGAUUCAGUCAAUGAUGUUCACAUCAAUGAUAGGCCCUAUAUGCCUCCUCUCUCUAUCGAUAACACGUAUAAUCCAGAGUCUGGCGUCACUUAUUAUUUCUCCCCUCAUGGGAACAUGGUUCGCCGUCUGCCAGAGUAUAAUCUAAAAACAGCUUCAGCAAUUCACGACGACCUGCCGAGUGAAGGAGAACGUUGUAAAAAAGAAUUUGGCCGUGUGUCAAUAGGCGGUUGGUCCUUCUUGUUCUUGUGGUUUUGCCCUAUGCAUGGGCACUGUUACGGGUUCCAUAUUGUUGACGGCAAAGAGGGCAGGAAGGACCCCUUUGCAUCUAUAUACAGAUAUAUGCCAGCUCCUCCAAAGGAAUUUUUUUUUGAUUUUGCUUGUUCGCUUAGCGAAUAUUCUCUCAAUAGGGAGCCAGAUUUCUUUAAGAAUACCAGGAUGUGGCACGAUGUCUUCCACAGUGUCGUCCAUAUCUGUGGCAAAAGUUUCAAAUCUAGAAGAGUUGUCAGCCUGAGCUCGUACAACACUGAAAUAUGCGAGCAAUUCAACUCUUUUCUUCAGUGUCUCAGAUAUACUGGCUCUCACAUGACCCAGAGUCAUUUCACUUUUUUUUUGUUCAGUUCCUGAUUAAUGUUUGGAAUCAGAGGAAAACUGAAACUUUUCGAUCAAAGAUCGACUUGGCCUCAGCAGGCUAUGAUUAGAUUGUCAUUGUAAAAACAACUUAUCCCCAAAUUUAUACUUAUAAGUUUAGGGGUUUAUAGUCUGAUAUUGUUUGCGAUGUUAAUUGUGUGAUAGAACCAGAGUUUUAUUAUGUUGUUGAAGUUUUCACCUAUCUGUCCGCGAGUCGGCUCUUUCAACUGUUGUUAAUCUGAAAUGACGCCAGAUUGGCUGCUGUAUUGUCAAUGAUAAAUUGAUUUAACACUGACCAGUUUUCCAAAGUGAAUAAAUCAGAAUCAGCGUACAUCACCGUACCAAAUAUCGUGGGUUUCUGGGAGUCACAAUUGUAUACCAUACAAUUGCAGGUCCGGAGACUGGAAAUAAGGGGUGGGGAUUGAAAAGUACCCAGCCAAAAGGGGUAGGGAUUGAAAGUUAGUGCUACUUGCAGUAAGGGGCUUACAAAAAUGUUUAGUGCGGUGAUGUGCUACACGCUUUAAGGGGGUGCCCCCCUGGGUUUUAUUAUUCUUUAAAAGGCACAAAAAAUGUUAAAUUUUGCAUCAAAUGCAGUUCAAGUUAAAUUGACUACUGUAGAACAUGCCUAUAACAUUCUUUCCUAAACAGACUUCGCCUGUAAGGUACGAAUACCACAAUUUAAUAUUCAUUCGGACAGUCAUAUGGUAAAGGAGCUGUCCCUCUGACCUAGGAAUAUUUAAUGAACCGACGGUUAAACUAAAUCACAUAAAUGAUCAUGUGUAACGUCCAUACACAAAAUUUUGGCCCUGCUUAGGUACGUUAUGGGUGAAUUCUACUGUUCAUGUACAAUCAUGUAAUGAUAUGCCAAAUUUAAUGGACAUAUUUGCCAACUCCAAUACACAGUGGAUAAAUGAGGACAAAGGUCAGCGGCUUGUUUCAUUCUUUUAUUCCCGAGCUCGAUCCAGGCUGAGCAGGUAGCUAUUUAUUCUCAUUCAUACCUAUCUAUCAUUUUGUACACCGACGACAAAAGAAUGGCACCCGAUGACCUUCGCCCCUCAUGAAUUGGUCACUAAACCGCUGCGUUUAUCCACCGUGGUCACAGCAGUUAAAAUUUGUAUGUUGAUGAAAUUUGUGCUAUAAUGUUUUGUCUUGUUCGAAUUGUAGGUGCAUCAAGCAUGAUGCUAUCCAUUUUAUCUACAAUUAUGAUGCUUCUUGUCAUUGAGAACCAGUUCUGCUAGUUUUGAUGCCAUUAGUCAACCAAUAGGGGGUGUCGCACAAAACUCGAUUUUCUUUGGACCCCUAUUAUAGUUCUGGGUCGACGAAAUAGCUGUUGUUAGCUUUCUUUAUUCAAUAUUUCAUGACAUGUAUCCAUGUACACUUUUUGUAUGUAUGUAUGCAUAUUCUGUCAUGUUAUCCGGACAUAAAAGUUGGCUAUAUUAAAGUAAAAUGAAUCAA